rnacentral:rRNA from 1 species
CCUACGGGUGGCAGCAGUGGGGAAUAUUGGACAAUGGGGGGAACCCUGAUCCAGCGACGCCGCGUGAGUGAAGAAGUAUUUCGGUAUGUAAAGCUCUAUCAGCAGGGAAGAAAGAAAUGACGGUACCUGACUAAGAAGCCCCGGCUAACUACGUGCCAGCAGCCGCGGUAAUACGUAGGGGGCAAGCGUUAUCCGGAUUUACUGGGUGUAAAGGGAGCGUAGACGGCGAUGCAAGUCUGAUGUGAAAGGCGGGGGCCCAACCUCCGGACUGCUUUGGAAACUGGAUGUCUGGAGUGCAGGGGAGGUAAGUGGAAUUCCUAGUGUAGCGGUGAAAUGCGUAGAUAUUAGGAGGAACCCCAGUGGCGAAGGCGGCUUACUAGACUGUAACUGACGUUGAGGCUCGAAAGCGUGGGGAGCAAACAGGAUUAGAUACCCUAGUAGUC